UACGAAGGGGGCUAGCGUUGUUCGGAAUCACUGGGCGUAAAGGGCGCGUAGGCGGCGCGACAAGUCAGGCGUGAAAGCCCCGGGCUCAACCCGGGAAUUGCGCUUGAUACUGUCGUGCUUGAGGCCGGGAGAGGAUGGCGGAAUUCCCAGUGUAGAGGUGAAAUUCGUAGAUAUUGGGAAGAACACCGGUGGCGAAGGCGGCCAUCGUGGACCGGUUCUGACGCUGAGGCGCGAAAGCGUGGGGAGCAAACAGGG
rnacentral:rRNA from 1 species